UGCAAGUCGAACGAACCCUUCGGGGUUAGUGGCGCACAGGUGCGUAACGCGUGGGAACCUGCCUUUAGGUUCGGAAUAACAGUUAGAAAUGACUGCUAAUACUGGAUAAUGUCUUCGGACCAAAGAUUUAUUGCCUUUAGAUGGGCCCGCGUUGGAUUAGAUAGUUGGUGGGGUAAUGGCCUACCAAGUCGACGACCCAUAGCUGGUCUGAGAGGAUGAUCAGCCACACUGGGACUGAGACACGGCCCAGACUCCUACGGGAGGCAGCAGUGGGGAAUAUUGGACAAUGGGCGAAAGCCUGAUCCAGCAAUGCCGCGUGAGUGAUGAAGGCCUUAGGGUUGUAAAGCUCUUUUACCAGGGAUGAUAAUGACAGUACCUGGAGAAUAAGCUCCGGCUAACUCCGUGCCAGCAGCCGCGGUAAUACGGAGGGAGCUAGCGUUGUUCGGAAUUACUGGGCGUAAAGCGCACGUAGGCGGCUUUUCAAGUCAGGGGUGAAAUCCCGGGGCUCAACCCCGGAACUGCCCUUGAAACUGGAUGGCUAGAAUACUGGAGAGGUGAGUGGAAUUCCGAGUGUAGAGGUGAAAUUCGUAGAUAUUCGGAAGAACACCAGUGGCGAAGGCGACUCACUGGACAGUUAUUGACGCUGAGGUGCGAAAGCGUGGGGAGCGAACAGGAUUAGAUACCCUGGUAGUCCACGCCGUAAACGAUGAUAACUAGCUGUCCGGGCUCAUGGAGCUUGGGUGGCGCAGCUAACGCAUUAAGUUAUCCGCCUGGGGAGUACGGUCGCAAGAUUAAAAC
rnacentral:rRNA from 1 species